GAGGGGCCCGCGCCCGAUUAGCUAGUUGGUGAGGUAAUGGCUCACCAAGGCAUUGAUCGGUAGCUGGUCUGAGAGGAUGGUCAGCCACACUGGAACUGAGACACGGUCCAGACUCCUACGGGAGGCAGCAGUGGGGAAUCUUGCACAAUGGGCGAAAGCCUGAUGCAGCGACGCCGCGUGGGGGAUGAAGCAUUUCGGUGUGUAAACCCCUUUCGAUCCGGACGAAACCCCGCAAGGGAUUGACGGUACGGAUAUAAGAAGCCCCGGCUAACUACGUGCCAGCAGCCGCGGUAAGACGUAGGGGGCCAGCGUUGUUCGGAAUUACUGGGUGUAAAGGGUUCGUAGGCGGUGUAGCAAGUCGGGAGUGAAAUCUUUGGGCUUAACCCAGAGGCUGCUUCCGAAACUGCUGUGCUUGAGUGUGGGAGAGGCGCGUGGAAUUGCAGGUGUAGCGGUGAAAUGCGUAGAUAUCUGCAGG
rnacentral:rRNA from 1 species